GACUCUUAGCGGUGGAUCACUCGGCUCGUGCGUCGAUGAAGAACGCAGCUAGCUGCGAGAAUUAAUGUGAAUUGCAGGACACAUUGAUCAUCGACACUUCGAACGCACUUGAGGGAUCCCUGGGUGGCGCAGCGGUU
rnacentral:rRNA from 1 species